rnacentral:lncRNA from 1 species
GUCCAUGUUUGUCUAUAGCUAUCUAUUGUUUUUGUUGGGUAACUGUCUCAUUCAUGCAUUGUUUUUAUUGGGUAACUUUUUCAUUCAUACUCAACAACUUUUGUUCACACAAAAUGAAUGAAACUUAUCAUGUCAUUGCUUCCAGGAAUAAAAUAUCUUAUAAAGUAUAGGAUGACUUUUAUCUUAUGUGUGAGUCACAUACAUAGAGA